CCCAUAGUGGCUCAGUUGGUAGAGCAUGGUGUUUGCAACGCCAGGGUUGUGGGUUCAAUUCCCACGGGG
rnacentral:tRNA from 1 species